rnacentral:lncRNA from 1 species
GUAACAAAACAGUCUGGCCGGUGCCAUUCAGAUCCUAACUUCGUAUAAAAGCCGUGCCUCGGAGGAAACCAUCUUUAUCUUCACCGAAAAGAAUCCAUGUGGACAAUGUCUUCCCUUCCACACCGUUCACCGGAGACGUGAAAAUCUGCAGCUGACAUUCCUGGCUGUACUCAAGUUUCUGAGGAAAGGGCUCAACAGAGAAGUAAUUCCUUCCAGGGACUUCGAGCUAUGACCUUGGGAACUGAAAUCUGGACACAAAGGGAACGGGUGUUUGCCUUCACCUCAUGAAAGGUGAAUGAUG